UAAGGAAUCUUCCGCAAUGGACGAAAGUCUGACGGAGCAACGCCGCGUGAGUGAUGAAGGUUUUCGGAUCGUAAAGCUCUGUUGUUAGGGAAGAACAAGUGCCGUUCAAAUAGGGCGGCACCUUGACGGUACCUAACCAGAAAGCCACGGCUAACUACGUGCCAGCAGCCGCGGUAAUACGUAGGUGGCAAGCGUUGUCCGGAAUUAUUGGGCGUAAAGGGCUCGCAGGCGGUUUCUUAAGUCUGAUGUGAAAGCCCCCGGCUCAACCGGGGAGGGUCAUUGGAAACUGGGGAACUUGAGUGCAGAAGAGGAGAGUGGAAUUCCACGUGUAGCGGUGAAAUGCGUAGAGAUGUGGAGGAACACCAGUGGCGAAGGCGACUCUCUGGUCUGUAACUGACGCUGAGGAGCGAAAGCGUGGGGAGCGAACA
rnacentral:rRNA from 1 species